GCGAGUGUAGUUUAGUGGUAAAACCUCAGCCUUCCAAGCUGAUGAUGGGAGUUCGAUUCUCCUCACUCGCUCCG
rnacentral:tRNA from 1 species